UACGUAGGGUGCAAGCGUUGUCCGGAAUUAUUGGGCGUAAAGAGCGUGUAGGCGGCUGGGUAGGUCCGUUGUGAAAACUCGAGCUCAACCUCGAGACGCCGAUGGAAACCCUCCAGCUAGAGUCCGGAAGAGGAGAGUGGAAUUCCUGGUGUAGCGGUGAAAUGCGCAGAUAUCAGGAGAACACCCAGUGGCGAAGGCAGCUCGUGUACG
rnacentral:rRNA from 1 species